AGAGUUUGAUCAUGGCUCAGGAUGAACGCUGGCGGCGUGCUUAACACAUGCAAGUCGAACGAUGAUCCCAGCUUGCUGGGGGAUUAGUGGCGAACGGGUGAGUAACACGUGAGUAACCUGCCCUUAACUCUGGGAUAAGCCUGGGAAACUGGGUCUAAUACCGGAUAUGACUCCUCAUCGCAUGGUGGGGGGUGGAAAGCUUUAUUGUGGUUUUGGAUGGACUCGCGGCCUAUCAGCUUGUUGGUGAGGUAAUGGCUCACCAAGGCGACGACGGGUAGCCGGCCUGAGAGGGUGACCGGCCACACUGGGACUGAGACACGGCCCAGACUCCUACGGGAGGCAGCAGUGGGGAAUAUUGCACAAUGGGCGAAAGCCUGAUGCAGCGACGCCGCGUGAGGGAUGACGGCCUUCGGGUUGUAAACCUCUUUCAGUAGGGAAGAAGCGAAAGUGACGGUACCUGCAGAAGAAGCGCCGGCUAACUACGUGCCAGCAGCCGCGGUAAUACGUAGGGCGCAAGCGUUAUCCGGAAUUAUUGGGCGUAAAGAGCUCGUAGGCGGCCUUGUAAGUCUCACUGUGAAAGUCCGGGGCUCAACCCCGGGAUGCCAGGGGAUACUGCGAGGCUUGAGACAAGUAGAGGUUGGUAGAAUUCCGGGUGUAGCGGUGGAAUGCGUAGAGAUCCGGAGGAAUACCAGAGGCGAAGGCGGCCAACUGGGCUUGUUCUGACGCUGAGGUGCGAAAGCGUGGGGAGCGAACAGGAUUAGAUACCCCGGUAGUCC
rnacentral:rRNA from 1 species